UUCCCUGCGACAAAACCGAAAAAAGAUUCCCUCAGAAAAAACAAACGAAACAGGAGAAAUCGUUCUUAGUUCCCACUUUGCCAGUGAGUUAAUGUCUCCAGAUUCAUUGAAUUGAAAUAUGGUUUGUAUGAAAAUUUAGGAGGAUGCCCUUACGAAUUCGAUCAGGAAUACUCAAUAGUGAGGAGGAGGAUCGAGGAUCGAGGAUCGAAUUCAUUCCCAGAAGAGGGAGAAUAGAUGGGUUGGGGUUGGGCAAUCUACGAGGGAGUGGUGGCGUUGGGAUCGCUAGGGCUGCUGGGAUGGGCGGGGCUGUGGUUCUUGAACCGAAGGCUCUACAAAGAGUACGAAGAGAAGAGGGUCUUAGUUCAGAUCAUUUUCAGCGUCGUCUUCGCCUUCUCCUGCAAUCUUCUGCAGCUCGUCCUCUUCGAGAUCAUCCCCUUUCUCUCGCAAAGGGCCCGGUGGCUCAACUGGAAGCUCGAUUUGUUUUGUCUCAUACUGUUACUGGUUUUCAUGUUGCCUUAUUAUCAUUGUUUCUUGAUGCUCUGCAACAAUGGGUUUCGGAAGGAACGCGCUGCUCUUGGAUCCUUCUUAUUCUUGCUCUCCUUCCUUUAUGCUUUUUGGCGCAUGGGCAUUCACUUCCCUACGCCUUCCCCCGAUAAAGGCUUCUUCACCAUGCCUCAGUUGGUCAGUCGCAUUGGCGUUACUGUCAUGGCUGUCUUGUCCGGUUUUGGAGCUGUCAAUUUGCCCUAUAGUUACUUAUCUCUCUUUAUCCGAGAAAUUGAGGAAACUGAGAUCAAGUCCUUGGAAACACAGCUCAUGCAUUCCAUCGAGACUUGUAUUGCUAAGAAGAAGAAAAUCAUUCUUUCUCAAAUGGAGAUGGAACGCAUUCAAGGACCAGAAGAGUUGCAGAAAUUAAAAGCUAGAUCUUUCUUUAAAAUAAUUGUUGGCACUGUUGUGCAAUCUGUGCAAGAUGAUCAAAAGGAGCAAGAUAUCAGAAACAUGGAAGCAGAAGUGCUAGCAUUGGAAGAGCUUUCAAAGCAGCUAUUCCUGGAAAUAUACGAGCUUCGUCAAGCAAAGGAGGCUGCUGCAUAUUCUCGAACCUGGAAGGGUCAUAUGCAGAACCUACUAGGUUAUGCAUGCUCUCUACUGUGUAUAUAAAUGGGGGUAAGGCUAGCCGACAUUCACCUCUCCCAGACCCUGCGUAAAGCGGGAGCUUUGUGCACUGGGUACGACCUUUUUUGAGUCUUUGCAAAGUGUUGUUUUCAAAGAGGCUGGCUCUGUGGAUCCUGUGACGAUGACAAUUAGCAUAUUCUUGCAGUUCUUUGACAUUGGUAUCAAUGCAGCCUUGCUAUCACAGAUACCAAAGAAGGAG